rnacentral:rRNA from 1 species
GUGCUUAACACAUGCAAGUCGAACGCGCAGUCUGUAGCAAUACAGGCGGGCGCGUGGCGAACGGGUGCGUAACACGUGGAUAACCUUCCUUCAGGUGGGGAAUAACCCAGUGAAAAUUGGGCUAAUACCGCAUAACAAGACGAUGGCACAUGCCGUUGUCUUCAAAGGCGCAAGUCGCCAGAAGAGGGAUCCGCGGCCGAUUAGCUUGUUGGCGGGGUAAUGGCCCACCAAGGCAAUGAUCGGUAGCCGGACUGAGAGGUUGGCCGGCCACACUGGAACUGAGACACGGUCCAG